rnacentral:rRNA from 1 species
AGGGAAUAUUGGACAAUGGGCGCAAGCCUGAUCCAGCCAUGCCGCGUGAGUGAAGAAGGCCCUCGGGUUGUAAAGCUCUUUUGUCCGGAAAGAAAAGCGUUGGGUUAAUACCCCGGCGUCCUGACGGUACCGGAAGAAUAAGCACCGGCUAACUUCGUGCCAGCAGCCGCGGUAAUACGAAGGGUGCAAGCGUUACUCGGAAUUACUGGGCGUAAAGCGUGCGUAGGUGGUUCGUUAAGUCUGAUGUGAAAGCCCUGGGCUCAACCUGGGAAUGGCAUUGGAUACUGGCGGGCUAGAGUGCGGUAGAGGGCAGUGGAAUUCCCGGUGUAGCAGUGAAAUGCGUAGAGAUCGGGAGGAACAUCUGUGGCGAAGGCGACUGCCUGGACCAGCACUGACACUGAGGCACGAAAGCGUGGGGAGCAAAC